CGGGUGAGUAACACGUGGGCAAUCUGCCCUGCACUCUGGGAUAACUCCGGGAAACCGGAGCUAAUACCGGAUACGAUCCUCCAGGGCAUCCUGGGGGGUGGAAAGCUCCGGCGGUGCAGGAUGAGCCCGCGGCCUAUCAGCUGGUUGGUGGGGUGACGGCCCACCAAGGCGACGACGGGUAGCCGGCCUGAGAGGGCGACCGGCCACACUGGGACUGAGACACGGUCCAGACUCAUACGGGAGGCAGCAGUGGGGAAUAUUGCACAAUGGGCGCAAGCCUGAUGCAGCGACGCCGCGUGAGGGAUGACGGCCUUCGGGUUGUAAACCUCUUUCAGCAGGGAAGAAGCGGAAGUGACGGUACCUGCAGAAGAAGCACCGGCUAACUACGUGCCAGCAGCCGCGGUAAUACGUAGGGUGCGAGCGUUGUCCGGAAUUAUUGGGCGUAAAGAGCUCGUAGGCGGCCUGUCGCGUCGGAUGUGAAAGCCCGGGGCUUAACCCCGGGUCGGCAUUCGAUACGGGCAGGCUAGAGUUCGGUAGGGGAGAUCGGAAUUCCUGGUGUAGCGGUGAAAUGCGCAGAUAUCAGGAGGAACACCGGUGGCGAAGGCGGAUCUCUGGGCCGAUACUGACGCUGAGGAGCGAAAGCGUGGGGAGCGAACAGGAUUAGAUACCCUGGUAGUCCACGCCGUAAACGUUGGGCACUAGGUGUGGGCGGCAUUCCACGUCGUCCGUGCCGCAGCUAACGCAUUAAGUGCCCCGCCUGGGGAGUACGGCCGCAAGGCUAAAAAUUCAAAGGAAUUGACGGGGCCCGCA
rnacentral:rRNA from 1 species